rnacentral:sRNA from 1 species
AAAAUUUUCACUUCCUGUCAAGGGACCUAACAAACUUAUCCUUGAAAGACACCACACAAGGGUGAACCGUAAAUUUAAAAGCAAAAUGUUUGGUGCACUUAGAGGUUCUGCGUGGAGAACGCAAUCUGUUGUUAAAAAUUCAGUGAGCCGACAGAUUACAAGAAACUUUGGCGAUGAUGUUCAAGUCGGCAGACCCAUCAAUGCGUGGGGACCUCAAGCUAUGUGGAAAAAAGGACUUGUCUUUGCACCAUUUCUUUUUAUUAUCUGGUACCCAUCCUGGUAUGUGACCAAAAACCUGAGGAAACACAAAUUAGCUAAAGAAGCAGGAGACUCCUAAAGAAACAGCCUCUGCACAAUUUCAAAGACACUAGUUUAUACUGGAAAACAUUUCUACAACAAGAUCAGUGGAAAAAACAUCUGUGACUGAUUAAAAAUGUGGUGUACAUUAUUCAUAGAUUAAAAUAAAUUUGUCAAAACUUG